AUGGCUCAGGAUGAACGCUAGCUACAGGCUUAACACAUGCAAGUCGAGGGGCAGCAUGUUGGUUGCUUGCAACCAAUGAUGGCGACCGGCGCACGGGUGAGUAACGCGUAUCCAACCUUCCCCUUAGUAGAGGAUAGCCCGGCGAAAGUCGGAUUAAUACUCUAUGUUCUUCAAUGCGGACAUCUAAGUUGAAGCAAAGAUUUAUCGCUAAGGGAUGGGGAUGCGUCUGAUUAGGUUGCAGGCGGGGUAACGGCCCACCUGGCCUACGAUCAGUAGGGGUUCUGAGAGGAAGGUCCCCCACACUGGUACUGAGACACGGACCAGACUCCUACGGGAGGCAGCAGUGAGGAAUAUUGGUCAAUGGGCGCGAGCCUGAACCAGCCAAGUAGCGUGCAAGGACGACUGCCCUAUGGGUUGUAAACUGCUUUUAUCAGGGAAUAAAGUGAGGCACGCGUGCCUUUUUGUAUGUACCUGAUGAAUAAGGACCGGCUAAUUCCGUGCCAGCCGCCGC
rnacentral:rRNA from 1 species